CUCCUGCUUGCACCGAUCUCACCUCCCUCCCUCACACUGACACACAGCCAUCCUGGAUAAAAACAUGACUCCAGUGCCCCUUCAGAGCACUUCACACACCAGCAGGCUGUGAAGUUUCAUCUCAUAGCAGGCCCAGCAGGGCUGAGCAGCAUGCCCCGUAUUGGAACCGUUCAGGCACUGGGGAUGCAGUGCUCACAGUUGGGCUCAAACAGCCCAUGCAGUGGCCCACACCUGACCAUCCGGGUGCCUACAGCACGGCUCUGCUCACACACCCAACGGCCUGGUUAUUUUCCAAGGUGCAGACCACGUCCAGUUCCUACCGACUCCUGCAGGAUUCGUCAGCCUCAUUUAGGCAUUUAAAUAUGGAUUUAGGAGCCUAACUUUUGGCACCGGGGGUGGAAAACUCUAGCCAAUAAGGCUGCACAAUCCCAUUACCAUGACGGCUUGGAAAUGUGAGAACUCAGCAGUUUGGAAUAAGGCGCCACAUUAAAAAUAGAUUAAACUGAAAACAGCCCAUGCGGCCUCCGGCGCCUCGGACAAGUGUCUGCCAGCUGAGAUGCCUCGCAGGUAACUGUUCGUGAGUGAAUCAGGUGCUGGCUGGAGGUGCCCACAGCUGCCUCGAGACACAGACAGAUUUUUAUUCCAGAGACACUUUUUUUUUUUUACUAGCACCAUAUGAAACUCGGCAGCCCCAACCCUACGGGGAUCUGUGUAAACCUCCAGCUUGCUCUGGUUCCCAUGGCGCUCACAUCCACCCGUUUCACUUCGAAUUUCAGGCUCACAAAUCCCCACUCUCGGCCUAGAGAGAUAAAGGCUGCCAAGCCAGCGCUCCAGCCACAGAGCAGGACUGCUCUCCUUCCUUACGGCACUGAAGGAGCAGCGGUGGAGCCAGGCUGCCCUGCUGUGACACAGGGACAGUGUGACACACGCAGCACAAGGUGCUGGGAGGACUUUGUUUCCAGGCCCGCUGGCAGCCUGAGGGUGAAACAGAGGCAGAGCUCAUCUCCCUGCUGGCCGGGGACAAAAGCCACUUGUCCCUUUGGUUCCCCGAGACCCGCCCAGCAUGACUGCAGCGAUCUGACCUGCUGGUGGGCACUCACGGCCCACCAUUAUUAUAUCUUUUCUUUGGAAGUAACUUCAUGGAAGGCCAAAACAAAACAAAAGACCCAAACCCCAAAAUCCAAGCAGCAAAGCGAGCCGAGGACUGCUGCAGACAUCACCGAUGAAUUACUGCCCCUCCAGCUGACAGGGAGUCUAGAGAAGUCACGGCCUUGCCAGCUUCACAAGAGCCAUCUGCCAUGCCCUGGUGGUUAAUGGUCACUAACAGCACUUCUCCGGAUCUCUGCUCUUUCUCUUCUCCAUUCCCAUGAUGUGGUGAGGCCCUCGAUAGCGGCUUUUGCUGCCACAUCAGCAUUUGUGGCAUAAAAAACAAAUCCGUGACAACAGAGCAAACCUUUGGAUUCCACAGCUGGCCGCCUGAGCACAGACAUGACCGAGCACAACCCCAGCUCCUGGCUGUCCUCCUCCACCAUCAGCCCUGCCGUGCCUGACCCACACGGCGGUCCCAGACCGGCAGCAAGGACUGGCAAAGGGCCGGCUUGGGGCACACCGGCUGUAUUUGCACAUAGCGGCUCAAUGAGCUGCAGUAACCCUACAGUCACACUCAGUCCAAGUUCAUCUUCAGCUGAGUACGGUAACUCACUGGGUACUGCAAUACGCUUGACAGAUUAAGAAACCUUUUUGCGUUUUAUUAUGGUUAAUUUCCUGUAUAUCUCUCUGCAGUUUAUUUUCC
ensembl:lncRNA